GAACGCUGGCGGCAUGCCUUACACAUGCAAGUCGAGCGGCAGCGCGGGGGCAACCCUGGCGGCGAGCGGCGAACGGGUGAGUAAUACAUCGGAACGUGUCCUCUUGUGGGGGAUAACCAGUCGAAAGACUGGCUAAUACCGCAUGAGAUCGCAAGAUGAAAGCAGGGGACCGCAAGGCCCUGCGCGAGAGGAGCGGCCGAUGUCGGAUUAGCUAGUUGGUGGGGUAACGGCCUACCAAGGCGACGAUCCGUAGCUGGUCUGAGAGGACGACCAGCCACACUGGGACUGAGACACGGCCCAGACUCCUACGGGAGGCAGCAGUGGGGAAUUUUGGACAAUGGGGGCAACCCUGAUCCAGCCAUGCCGCGUGUGUGAAGAAGGCCUUCGGGUUGUAAAGCACUUUCGGACGGAACGAAAUCGCGCGGGUUAAUAGUCCGUGUGGAUGACGGUACCGUAAGAAGAAGCACCGGCUAACUACGUGCCAGCAGCCGCGGUAAUACGUGGGGUGCGAGCGUUAAUCGGAAUUACUGGGCGUAAAGUGUGCGCAGGCGGCCGCGCAAGUCGAGUGUGAAAUCCCCGAGCUUAACUUGGGAAUUGCGCUCGAAACUACGUGGCUGAGUGUGGCAGAGGAAGGUGGAAUUCCACGUGUAGCGGUGAAAUGCGUAGAGAUGUGGAGGAACACCGAUGGCGAAGGCAGCCUUCUGGGCCAACACUGACGCUCAUGCACGAAAGCG
rnacentral:rRNA from 1 species